rnacentral:rRNA from 1 species
GACGAACGCUGGCGGCGUGCUUAACACAUGCAAGUCGAACGGAAAGGCCCUGCUUUUGUGGGGUGCUCGAGUGGCGAACGGGUGAUUAACACGUGAGUAACCUGCCCUUGACUUUGGGAUAACUUCAGGAAACUGGGGCUAAUACCGGAUAGGAGCUCCUGCUGCAUGGUGGGGGUUGGAAAGUUUCGGCGGUUGGGGAUGGACUCGCGGCUUAUCAGCUUGUUGGUGGGGUAGUGGCUUACCAAGGCUUUGACGGGUAGCCGGCCUGAGAGGGUGACCGGCCACAUUGGGACUGAGGUACGGCCCAGACUCCUACGGGAGGCAGCAGUGGGGAAUAUUGCACAAUGGGCGGAAGCCUGAUGCAGCAACGCCGCGUGCGGGAUGACGGCCUUCGGGUUGUAAACCGCUUUCGCCUGUGACGAAGCGUGAGUGACGGUAAUGGGUAAAGAAGCACCGGCUAACUACGUG